GACGAACGCUGGCGGCGUGCUUAACACAUGCAAGUCGAACGGUAAGGCCCUUCGGGGUACACGAGUGGCGAACGGGUGAGUAACGCGUGGGUGAUCUGCCCUGCACUUCGGGAUAAGCCUGGGAAACUGGUCUAAUACCGGAUAGGACCCUGGGAUGCAUGUCCUGGGGUGGAAAGCUUUUGCGGUGUGGGAUGGGCCCGAGGCCUAUCAGCUUGGUGGUGGGGUGAUGGCCUACCAAGGCGACGACGGGUAGCCGGCCUGAGAGGGUGACCGGCCACACUGGGACUGAGAUACGGCCCAGACUCCUACGGGAGGCAGCAGUGGGGAAUAUUGCACAAUGGGCGCAAGCCUGAUGCAGCGACGCCGCGUGAGGGAUGACGGCCUUCGGGUUGUAAACCUCUUUCAGCACCGACGAAGCGCAAGUGACGGUAGGUGCAGAAGAAGGACCGGCCAACUACGUGCCAGCAGCCGCGGUAA
rnacentral:rRNA from 1 species